GACGAACGCUGGCGGCGUGCCUAAUACAUGCAAGUCGAACGCAGCGGGGACGGGUGAGUAACACGUGGGUAACCUCCCAUCAGAGGGGAUAACACUUGGAAACAGGUGCUAAACCGAUACUGAUGGAUGGACCAGCGGUGCAUUAGCAAGUUGGUGAGGAAACGGCUCACCAAGGCCACGAGGCAUAGCCUACCUGAGAGGGUGAUCGGCGACACUGGGGCUGAGACACGGCCCGGACUCCUACGGGAGGCAGCAGUAGGGAAACUUCGGCUAUGGACAAAAGUCUGACCGAGCAACGCCGCAUGAGUUAAGAAGGUUUUCGGAUCGUAAACCUCUGUUGUUAGAGAAGCGGUAUCUAACCAGAGAGCCACGGCUAACUACGUGCCAGCAGCCGCGGUAAUUG
rnacentral:rRNA from 1 species